rnacentral:rRNA from 1 species
UACGGAGGGAGCUAGCGUUAUUCGGAAUUACUGGGCGUAAAGCGCACGUAGGCGGCUUUGUAAAUAAGAGGUGAAAGCCCAGAGCUCAACUCUGGAAUUGCCUUUUAGACUGCAUCGCUUGAAUCAUGGAGAGGUCAGUGGAAUUCCGAGUGUAGAGGUGAAAUUCGUAGAUAUUCGGAAGAACACCAGUGGCGAAGGCGGCUCACUGGACUGGUAUUGACGCUGAGGUGCGAAAGCGUGGGGAGCAACAGG